UAUAUUUGCAAAUGAAAAACUGAACUAUAGUCUGAUUCAGUGUCUCAGGCAUACAGGCUUGUUUUUGGGUGUCUGUUUACCAGGCUACGGAAUUCUAUUAUGAGAGAAUCUAUGAGAGAAUCGAUGCUAUUUUUAGAAGACGACAGCAACGUUGGCAAAAGAUAUGUGUAGUAGUCUUUUUUUGUUUACUUUUAGUAAAAGUUUGGUAUUGAGCCUAGGAUGACAAUAUCUCAGCUUGCAAUCUAAUUUACUCAGAUAUGUAUUUUGGCAUGCUGUAUUGUCGUAUGCAAAACAACAGUAGUCUAAGUUAGAAUAAUGGGAGCAAAGGGUGAUAUUUAAAGAGGCUGUGGCCACACAAGGCUCACCAUUUCAAAGGCCAAGGCUUAGCCACAGAUAGUGUUCUUGGGGUGAUGCACUCCCAUGACUAAGGUCUGCAGAAGGGACAGGGUUUGAUUUUGUCUUCUUUUGUUUUGAAAUCUGUUGUACACAAUAUUUCAAAGAACUCUGCUGAGUAUGUUCCACUUCAGAAGUGCAUACGCCUAAAGCCCCAGGCAUGGACUUAAGAGUCUGGGGAAAUACUGAAGUCUGCUCUAACCAGAACAGAAGAGCGCUGAGGAGACAUGAGGUGUUUUAAUUAAGACUCUGAAGAAGAAAGAAAGCAUUUGGGUAUGAGCCAGGGUACCUUACGUAAGGAGAAAGAAGCUGAUUGACAUCUAGAUGUUUCAAACUGAUCUGCUGCUCUUAAUGGAGUCAGGACGUCUUGUUGCUCACAUGGAGACUUUGAAGACGACCAUUUACGUAGCUUGCUCCAUGGGAACGCUGACAGCCACUGUUACUUUCCCGUACAAAGGAGAAAAGGGUUAUUGUGACCAGCAGCAGUGUGACAAGGAGAAAUUUCAAAAAGAAAAUGAGACAUUUUUGAGAAGAAAAUGUGAGCUGAUGGAAACCUGAAUAAAAGGCAACCAUAAGUUUUUCCCCGGAAGAAACCAGAGGAGAGAAUAGGAACUGAAGACCUAACUCUACACUCUUGUCAACUCUAAAUGAAUUUUUGUAAACCACAUUUAUGUUUAUCUUGCCCUCUGGAAGCAGACAGAAAGAUACACUUAGGUUUCAGUGAUAACUGCCUGAAGUAAGGAAACAGACAGUAUGAUAACAUUCUUUUCAUAUCUCAAUGACCUUGAAUAAAAUGAUAGAGUACGUAAAUAUAAUGUAAAUU
rnacentral:lncRNA from 1 species